rnacentral:misc_RNA from 1 species
UAAUCUCUCAACUUGGGCUUUGGGAUUCUUCUUCCCAAAGGCCCAGAGUUUGGAUGCUGGAGGUGUUGCUGGCUGCCACCAUUGGUCAGCUCCUCUGAAAAAAAUCAGCAAAGGGAAACGCACCUGUUCCUGCAUCUCGUGCUCUGGCAUUGAUAAUUGUCUAUGCCUGUCGUGGCUCAGAUGCCUUUCGGAUCGGUGAGCGUCUCUGCUUACAGUCGUCCUUUGGACAUUUUGAC